GACGAACGCUGGCGGCGUGCUUAACACAUGCCAGUCGUACGGUAAGGCCCUUUCGGGGGUACACGAGUGGCGCACGGGUGCGUAACACGUGAGUAACCUGCCCACAACUUUGGGAUAACGCUAGGAAACUGGUGCUAAUACUGGAUAUGUGCUCCUGCUGCAUGGUGGGGGUUGGAAAGCUCCGGCGGUUGUGGAUGGACUCGCGGCCUAUCAGCUUGUUGGUGGGGUAGUGGCCUACCAAGGCGGCGACGGGUAGCCGGCCUGAGAGGGUGACCGGCCACAUUGGGACUGAGAUACGGCCCAGACUCCUACGGGAGGCAGCAGUGGGGAAUAUUGCACAAUGGGCGCAAGCCUGAUGCAGCAACGCCGCGUGCGGGAUGACGGCCUUCGGGUUGUAAACCGCGUUCAGCAGGGACGAAGCUUUUUGUGACGGUACCUGCAGAAGAAGCACCGGCUAACUACGUG
rnacentral:rRNA from 1 species